AUUCACUUAUGUUUCACAUUCCAAUCAAUGGAAAAGCAAAUGUGAUGUGCUUUCUACAUCCCUGCGUUGUCUCCUUUCUUUUCUUGCGUAGUUUAACAUGCUGUUAUUAUGUAGGAGUGCAGUGUGACCUCUCCUGGCAUUUGGAGUGCUUUGCCCCACUUAAUGGACUGAGCUGUCAGCUUGGGAGACCUGAAUGUUUUACCUUGGAAAGCCCCCCUUCCCAUGGCCCAGGGAUACCACGGAGCACCUGUCUAAGUCCAUCUCUGCAAGCAAGCGGCCAGAAGCAAGCCUGGAGCCAGGAGACUGGUGUGCUGGCCCUGGGAUCUUCCUGGGGAUUCCCGGAGAAAACCUCUCAGGGUGCCUCUCUCAGCCUUCGUCACCCCCUACAGGCAUGGAGCAGCAGAGAUGAAACCAGCCUUGGUGCUCAGCAUACCUGCGCCACUGUCUCAGCAGAGUUUUUUAUUUUUUAACUUCAGAGUUUUUAUAAAAUCUCUCCUGCUCCAAAAAUUGUAUCUCUGAAUUAUGAGGUUUUAUAUUUUUAUAUAUAUUUUAAAAGCGCCUUUUCUCCUCACCUGUAGCAAGAAAGUUAUUAUAGAGAGAUCAGACAUAUACACUAAUCUUUAAAGUAUGAUCCAAUGAUUGUUUGCACAGUUGUACACAAUAGACACAUGAGUGGUCUGUAUGCAUCAUCCAGGUUCUAGCACAGAACACUUUCCGUGGCCCUUCCCCCUGGCCAGGCCACCUUUGACGUCGGUCCCCGCACUACGUGAUUCUGUCUUUUCUCAUAAUGCACUGAUUUUGCCUGCUCUGGCACCUUAGAAAACCGUGAGCAAGUACACAUCUGGUAAUGCACAUGUCAGGCGCACUCAUAUUGCUCAUGGAGCCGGUGUUGUUUUUUUUUUUUUAUUGCUGCACAUCAUAUCAGUUGAGUACAUUUACCACCCACUAUUUUUUUGCCAGUGGAUGUUGAGUUGUUUGAAAGUGCAAUGUUAUGAAUAAAGCUGGCAUGAGCAUGAGUUUGUGUGUGUAUUUUGGUGGACAUACAUGCUCAUUUCUCUUGCUUAUCUGACUCAAAUAGAAUCUCUCUAAGUCACAAGGAACACAUAUGUUUCUUGAUAAUAUUACCAAGGAGAUUUCCCAAGCACCCUUGUCCCUGUGCCACCCUUUGGCUGUGUCUGAGUUCCACAAAUAGCCUUGAUAAAAUGUGUCUUUGCCAUUUUUUUCAAAUUACAGCCAUUCUGAUACUCAUUCUUGUUUUAAUUUCAGCAGACUGCUUUCAAAUUCUUACCAGCCAUUGGCGUAGCUUCUUACACAAAGGGUUGUUUAAGUCUUUACCUGCCGUUCCAAUAAGCUACACCCAAGGUCCAAGUGCUUUUUUUUAACCUUUGCCUAUUUAGUCUGUCUGCCUUUUAUCUGUAGAAACUCUGUGCACUGUAAUAGAG
rnacentral:lncRNA from 1 species